rnacentral:rRNA from 1 species
AUUGAACGCUGGCGGCAUGCCUUACACAUGCAAGUCGAACGGUAACGGGCCUUCGGGUGCCGACGAGUGGCGAACGGGUGAGUAAUGUAUCGGAACGUACCUUUCAGUGGGGGAUAACGUAGCGAAAGUUACGCUAAUACCGCACAUUCUGUGCGCAGGAAAGCAGGGGAUCGCAAGACCUUGCGCUGAUUGAGCGGCCGAUAUCAGAUUAGCUAGUUGGUGAGGUAAAGGCUCACCAAGGCGACGAUCUGUAGCGGGUCUGAGAGGAUGAUCCGCCACACUGGAACGGAGACACGGUCCAGACUCCUACGGGAGGCAGCAGUGGGGAAUUUUGGACAAUGGGCGCAAGCCUGAUUCAGCCAUGCCGCGUGAGUGAAGAAGGCCUUCGGGUUGUAAAGCUCUUUCGGCCGGGAAGAAAUCGUAUGGGUUAAUACCCUGUGCGGAUGACGGUACCGGCAUAAGAAGCACCGGCUAACUACGUGCCAGCAGCCGCCGUAACAC